rnacentral:ncRNA from 1 species
CGGGAGGCAGCAGUGGGGAAUUUUCCGCAAUGGGCGAAAGCCUGACGGAGCAAUGCCGCGUGGAGGUGGAAGGCCUACGGGUCGUCAACUUCUUUUCUCGGAGAAGAAACAAUGACGGUAUCUGAGGAAUAAGCAUCUGCUAACUCUGUGCCAGCAGCCGCGGUAAGACAGAGGAUGCAAGCGUUAUCCGGAAUGAUUGGGCGUAAAGCGUCUGUAGGUGGCUUUUCAAGUCCGCCGUCAAAUCCCAGGGCUCA